ensembl:rRNA 5S_rRNA 5S ribosomal RNA
GCUUACGGCCAUACCACCCUGAGCACGCCCGAUCUAGUCUGAUCUCGGAAGCUAAGCAGGGUCGGGCCUGGUUAGUACUUGGAUGGGAGACCGCCUGGGAAUACCAGGUGCUGUAAGCU